GCCAGACUCCUACGGGAGGCAGCAGUGAGGAAUAUUGGUCAAUGGGCGCGAGCCUGAACCAGCCAAGUCGCGUGAGGGAUGACGGUCCUACGGAUUGUAAACCUCUUUUGCCGGGGAGCAAGCGUGCGUUCGUGAACGCGCGUCGAGAGUACCCGGAGAAAAAGCAUCGGCUAACUCCGUGCCAGCAGCCGCGGUAAUACGGAGGAUGCGAGCGUUAUCCGGAUUUAUUGGGUUUAAAGGGUGCGCAGGCGGAUUUUUAAGUCAGCGGUCAAAUCGUGGGGCUCAACCCCAUCCAGCCGUUGAAACUGGGGAUCUAGAGUGUGCGAGAGGUAUGCGGAAUGCGUGGUGUAGCGGUGAAAUGCAUAGAUAUCACGCAGAACCCCGAUUGCGAAGGCAGCUUACUAAGCCAUAACUGACACUGAAGCACGAAAGCGUGGGGAUCAAACAGGAUUAGAUACCCCCGUA
rnacentral:rRNA from 1 species